rnacentral:rRNA from 1 species
AUGAGAUGUAUCAGAAGCAUGUCCGCCUGGAUCACACUAGACAAGGAUCUGCAGCAGAGGGUGUGCCACCUUGUGGUGCAGGCUAUAGUGCCUGUUUAUCGUAGCUUCAUGCAGAACUACGGGCCGCUUGUUGAGCAGGACAUCAAUGCGAACAAGUAUGUGAAGUACAAUGCCGAAGGCCUUGAUAAAAUGUUGGGCACCCCCUUCAUGCCAAAGCCUAUGACUAGGAGGACGGCAAGCUUACAGCUCGGAAACUCGAAUGACAAGAAUGUUGGUGCAAUGACAGGGCUGCAUCGCACUGCUUCCACAUUGCAAUAG